CUCUCGACAACGGAUAUCUCGGCUCUCGCAUCGAUGAAGAACGUAGCGAAAUGCGAUACUUGGUGUGAAUUGCAGAAUCCCGUGAACCAUCGAGUCUUUGAACGCAAGUUGCGCCCGAAGCCAUUAGGCUGAGGGCACGUCUGCCUGGGUGUCACGCAUCAU
rnacentral:rRNA from 1 species